AUAUUGUUUUCCUCUAAGGUUCACAACUACAUCUACACUAGGGCACCUAUACCAUUGGGCGUGAUAACCACUAUUGCAUCAGCUGGCAAGGUUGCUCCUGAUUGAUUGGAUUACUGGAGUCUAGUGUAAGGGACAUUACUGUGGAUAUGGACAUCGGGAAGACCAUUGCCAACGAGGAAGAAACCGCAGAGCAGGUUGCGGCCAACGGAAGGAAGUAAGAGGAUGGUGCUGUGUGAAUUUUAGUGAAGAUUGUUUUUAAUAAUUAUAACAUACUUGUGAAAUAAAUUGGUUUACUAUUUUCGGUUUUUAUUUUAUCCCUUUUAAAAUGCGAUAAA